CAAACUCUGUGACACCUAAAAUUGAUGGAUGGGAUUAUAUUAGUUACCAUCUUUCAAAGAUUCUUCUCAUAAGGUUUAUGCCUCCACCUUAUGCUUUCUAUCAGUUGAUUCAGCAGUUCUUGCAAUUCAUUCAAAUAUGGUACUCCCAGACAACUUAUCUCAUACUUGUUGUAAAAGAGGUACUAUCACAAUUCCAGGCUGCAGUUGCUGAAG
rnacentral:misc_RNA from 1 species